GGUGGCUCAGUGGUAGAGUGCUUGCCUUGCAUGCAUGAGGGUCUGGGUUCGAUUCCUGAGCACCA
rnacentral:tRNA from 1 species